rnacentral:sRNA from 1 species
UCUCACCUUCACGCAGCAAGGAACAAGAUAAGACAACCUUCCGCAACAGUGGAGGACCGUUCUUCUUGGUCAAGGGUAUAUGAGUAGCUGCGCUCCUCUCCUAGAACAUCCAAACAAGCGUUCAAGAUGAUAAAGGAGCACAAAAGAGU